UACGAAGGGGGCUAGCGUUGCUCGGAAUCACUGGGCGUAAAGGGUGCGUAGGCGGGUCUUUAAGUCAGGGGUGAAAUCCUGGAGCUCAACUCCAGAACUGCCUUUGAUACUGAAGAUCUUGAGUUCGGGAGAGGUGAGUGGAACUGCGAGUGUAGAGGUGAAAUUCGUAGAUAUUCGGAGGAACACCAGUGGCGAAGGCGGCUCACUGGCUCGACACUGACGCUGAGGUGCGAAAGCGUGGGGAGCAAACAGG
rnacentral:rRNA from 1 species